GACGAACCGUGCGAACGUUGUUCGGAAUCACUGGGCUUAAAGGGCGCGUAGGCGGGCGAUCAAGUCCGGGGUGAAAUCUUUCGGCUCAACCGGAAAACUGCCUUGGAUACUGAUCGUCUUGAGGGAGGUAGGGGCAGGUGGAACUUCCGGUGGAGCGGUGAAAUGCGUUGAUAUCGGAAGGAACGCCGGUGGCGAAAGCGGCCUGCUGGAUCUCUUCUGACGCUGAUGCGCGAAAGCUAGGGUAGCGAACGGG
rnacentral:rRNA from 1 species